CCGCCGCCGCCCCUCGGAAAAUAAUAAACAAUCGAGUAAAAUGCGGCGCGGGGCGGGGGUCCGGGCGGGCUCCGCGCCCCUCGCGCCGGGCGCUGCCUGCAGCCCUGCCGCCAGAAAAGCCUUUCCUGAAGGUGCCGUGGCGCUCGCACGGAAAUUGCCUUCAGCCAGAAGCUACUGCUGCACCGAGGACCAAGCAAAGCCAUCUCUCGGCUUUCCCCGAUCCCCUUGUCUCAAAGCUAAGUUGUGCCAGGCUGCAGGUGCCCUACAGAUGUGGGUUCGAGGCGGUGGAGAGCUGUGUGCGGUGGGACGGGAAGGGACUGGGUGGGUACGUGUCUGGCAGCCAGGUGUGCCAUUCCAGUGUGCCAAAUGCCUAGAGGCAGGGCACCGACAGGGAGACCUGUAAGCCACACCUCUGAAACAAUGUCAGUGUCGGCUGUCUUCACGGGACAAAAACGUCCCCGAGGUGACCGUCCUGUCCGCAUGGUGCUGGGCAGAGAUGCAUCCUCAAUCCUUGCUUCGUUGUGGUGGUGCCUACACAGCACAGCCCCAAAAUAACUACCUCUCACAGCCCUGCUUCCCUCUACCUGCAAACAGAAGGCGCGCUUGUACAGCAGGGGAUUUAAUCGGGGAUCAGGUGACGAGAAUGACGGCUGCGGGAAAGGAUUUACUUUUUGUCGGGCUCGCAGCCUGGCCUCUCCUUUUGACAGCAGGUGCCCAAUACGGCCUAUUUCGCUUCCUCCAAAGAAUUAAUUAUUUUCUCCCGUACGUGGCCCCUGGAGGAAGAAGUCUAAGCACCUCCCUCAUGCUGUCAUCCUGUAUUUCCAGUGAUCAGAGCACUUGUUCAGGAGCUGAAGAUGUGGCUCCUGGUCCUCUUCCCAGGACUUUGUGUUUUCUUCUCUGACAGAUGUUUGAUGUAAAGUACAUAGAGCACACUUUCAAAAGGGGACUGAAAUCCAAGGCUGCUCCCCUCCCUUCCCUAUGGCAAUGUUAUUAUUGCUGGGUCAUGGCCUCUCCUUGAUUGCUCCCGUGAAUCCCGAAGCCCCACCCUCUCCCCCAAGCAGCAAUACGGGUUCAACAGGCUGGUUGGAAAUGGAGUGCGUGUCAGGCUAGCCUGCGUCCCUGGUAAAAUACUCUUCGGGAAGGUCAGAGCCAGGCAUCUGAACCCCGGCGGGCAGAAGGAGAAAAUGACCUCGUGUUCCUGGUGUGAGGGGCACUGCAAGGCACACAGGGGGAAGGAAAUCUCCCCCGGGGAGUUGAGGAAGGGUUCAAAGGGGCCGGUGAAGUGUUAAGCAAAAGCAGUCAGCGGCUUAGCACAUGGUGGAGAAGUCGACUAUAAGCAUUUGCAGCUGGUUCUCUCUCUCCUGCCUCGGAGGAACUGGGUAACUGCUGACUCAGGGGCUGCAUCGAGUCGGAGGAAUGGGAAGGGGCUCAUGUUUCCCGAGUGCCUGUAUGCGCCGCAGAGCGAUGGGAUAGCGCCGGGCACCUCCUACCUGCUGUCCCGUCUUGGAAAAGCGAUGCCAGCAGCGUGCUCUAAGAAGCCAGAGCCUGUUGGUAUGUGUUGGAUGUGCUCUGAGCAGGCUGCGCAGCCGGGGCCGUGGGUCUCGUCUUGCAUGGAAACGUGUCCGAGCCACGAAUUCCAGCGCUGGGUCCGGGGGAAAAUUGGCACAGAGCUGCCCAACAUGGGGUGGUUGUGUGUAUGUGAAAGGCAGAAUAUCCUGUAUCGUGAGAUGCUGACAACCUAAAAAUAGGACUUUAUUGCCUCCAGGAUUAGGCAUCUAAUUAGGAGCAGGGAAUUUUGGGAGGACAGUUCUGAACUUUAAUGCCUCGGUUCUGCCCCAGUACUGUUCUGCUGUUCAAGACUUUACAUUCCUUGCAGUUCAUGUGAGCGUCACUCAAACAUGCCCAGGGCGUGCAGUUAUAGCAACUGCCCUGAAAAAUCUUCCUGGAAUCUGAAAAGUUGAAUUCUUCCGUUUGCACACACCCUUGCCUGCCUUGCAAAAUAAUUUCCUUCAGUUUAGCAAACCAAAACUUCAACUGAAGUAAUUCACUGCCAGUUUACCUAUGGAGAGGCAAUGACAGCAAGAGUGAGACCUAAUAUUUUGUUCGUUUUUAAAUUUUUUUUUUUUUUGGGUACCAUUUCAGUGAGCCCAUCUAAUUGAAUACAUGCUAAUCUGCUAAAGAGCUUGCUGCUUCUAAAUACUGUAGCUACUCUUCAUAAUAGGCAUAUCUAGUUUAAAAUAUAAAUAGAGGUAUUAUAAACCUUGUUUAGCCAAAAUGGACUUUUUUCCUUGGAAGUAAACAGGGAAAACUGGGGGAGGAACUCUAGCUGAGGUCUGACAGAUGUUCAAGUAUGUGAAGCUUAAAGAAGAACGUGUGCUAUUCAGUUUGCUCACGGAGCCUUUGUGACCUGUGUCUUCGCAGUAAUGAUGACACAAGCUUUUUUGAAUAAAAGGAAGAAAUUAACUGCCGUGGCUAAUUGCACCCUUGCUAGCUUGCUAACCAAGGACACCAUUUGACUGUGAAAAUUGUUGGUGUACCCAAAUCUCUCAGCUGGAGAGAAUAUCCAAAGUGAGAGUGUUCCCAUGUCUGUGGGUUAGAAGGGCUAUUUAAAAAACUUCCUUUAAUUGGAAAAUUAAACACUAUUGCUUUAAAACAGUGGUGCACUGCUUUAAAAAAUUAAGAUCAUAUGGAAUCAUUUAUUGUUUUUCAAUAUGUAUUCAGUCUCUGGUGCAAUUUUAUGUCCUCGCUAAUGGAUAAAGUCUUUUGGAGCAGGAAUAAAGCACCACAAAGCAUGAUUUAAUGCUGUAGGGUCACCAGAUCUGUUUCACAUUACUGGAUGUUUCAAUCUGCUGAAAAGAAGGGGCUGUCCCUGAACCAACGAAACAAUGAUGGGGAAGUGGGGGGGAAGCCCAUCAAUCUGAAACACUUUGGAAACAUAGUGCACAUAUCAAGAAAAACUUUUAAAGGAUUCAGUGGGGAUUUGGCUGCAUAAGAGAUUAAAAUUAUGUAAAUUUAUAUUAAGAACAGGAAAGUUAAAGUAUUAAUAGUACAAUAUUUGGUUGCAGUUUAAGGUGUCUUAAUAAAUCAUGUUUUCAAACAGUACAGGCCUACAUAAGCAUGUGACUGUAAGAGAAAAUAAGAGCAAGUAAUCCGGGAGUGCACAAAAAACAAAAGUGCUUUUGUUUUUAGUUCUGUGGUCACUGGAAGUGCCUAUUCUUGUGCUUAUUCACAAACACCUCUGGCUCCUUCUUCCAGAAAUCCUAUCCAAACGUUUUUGUUCUGACUUCGUUAGAGGACUUUGUGCUUCGGUUCUUUUCAUAUGACUUGUUCAGGGUUCAGUCUUACAAUGCCUUUCCUCUGGCAAGGGACUGAGAUGGGUCCGAUGCCUUCGCUGCCUUCUUUUUUUGGUUGUUUGUUGUUUGUUUUUUUUUUGCCUUUUGCCUUCUUUUUCCCCCCCAGAAUGACAAGCUGUGGGGCAAUUUUUGCUCUCAGGGCCUGGGCAUUUCCCUUUCACUGGUUCAGCAGGGAUCAACAAGAAGAGGCCAAGUCUGACAAGUAAACCAUGCAUGGUUUGAGCCACCUGGCAAUGAACUCUGCAGGCAUGGGAGGCAACCUUUCUGUUUUUAUCGUGAACCUCAGAGAAGUAUAACUGGCUGGCUAGUUAUAAUUUGACAGAAACCCCACUUUUCAUCUUGCUGUGGUGGUAUGCUUUCUUUUAAAUGUCAUCUGUAGAGUCUCCCAGUGAAUGGGAACUUCAGUUUUGCUUUGUAUUUCCUACAGAUACUGACAAAAACUAGUCCACCACAUUACUGAAUAAGAGCCGUAUUUCUUCUUAGAGGCCUAAGCACACUAAAAAGAGUUUGCAGUAACUUUAAUACUUCAAUCAAAAUAUUUUUCACUACAUAUUUGUCAUUUAUAACCAAUAGAAUAAUUGACUGGGUUUUUUAUUAAUUUUGAAAUCUUAUAUUUCCAGCUUUAUUAAGCAAGUAAAUUAAUCUUCAGCUUUCCUGUAGCACUGGAGCUUGUUCAUCAUGGCUGUGCCUUCCAUCAUUCUUUGGUAAUAGAUAGUAGUAAUUUCAACAGUGGCAAUGGGGACUGUUCUACUUGCAGGAAUGUUGGGACUAAUCAUGUGAGAAAAGAUCCUGGAGUGAUGAGGCAGCAUAUUUCCCAUGUCUGAGGUCAGGAUUUGUUCUGUGAAGCUGACCUUUAAAACAGCCUGAAAAUGAGGAACGUGGCACCAGAGAGCAGAGCAGGAAGCCUGAAAUUAUAGUCCUAAGGGAGAAGCAAAUGGAUAUAAGCACGUACUGUAUUUGUGAGACCAGCACUGGGAUGGCCUGCAUGUUAUAAAUUGAUGUUGAAAAAUGGGCUGUGGAACAUUAGAGCCACACAAAAUGAUUCAGAGCCUGAAGAAAAUGCUUUGCAAUGGGAGACAUGAAGCACUUUGUCUCUUUAGUUUAUCAAAAAAGGCUGAGCAGAGAAUUGAUUAUGAUGGUGAAGGAACUUCCUUGGAAGAAAAAUAUCAGUACUUCACAGACAUUUUUGAGUUGGACGGUGCCUCUGGAGAUCAUCCAGUCUGAGCCCUCUGCCAAAGCAGGGUCACCUAGAGCGGGUGACACAGGAACGUAUCCAGGUGGUUCGGAGUCUCUCCAGAGAAGGGCUCUCCACAACCUCCACGGGCAGCCUGUUCCAGUAACAUAAGGAAGUUUUACCUCAUGUUGAGAGCCUAAGAAGAACCUUCGGAAACUGCAAUACAGGGGAUCGGUGGGAAGUGAGGCACUGGAAUAACUGCUGCCAGCCUGCUGCCAGAAGGGUGAUGAGCUGCUUUUCCAAGGCCAGCAAUGAACACCAAAAGAUAUUAAACCCUCCCACAGCACAGAUGAAAGAGCUGGAGACUGGGGGUAUGGAAAGGAGGUCAGAGCAGCUUCUUAAGAAGAAACAUUACUGGACUUGCAGCUGCAUCUGGGUGUCCCACCAAAGCUGGGGAUGAUGGGCUGUGCGAGGGGAUUUCAGGGGCUUGUCUGUGCUGCUGAAAAGGUGGAAAAGGGGAAGUUCCAAGCACCAACACUUCCCUCAGACUUAGGCUUGUCUCCUGGUUUGUGGCAGGCUUUUGGCUGUACUGCCAGCUGUUCUGCCCCAAAAGAAGAGUUUCAGCUGUCCACUGCAGGCUGUUUGGAGGGGAAGGGAUUGGCAGGCAAUGCUCAAAUACAGCAGUCCUGUUUAAAUGCCAACACAGGGAGUAGAGCGGGCAAGACAGGCAGGGGGUGCCAGCCCAGUCACAGGGUGGUGAACAUGGCAGCAGCCCUCAUCUCCUAGACUUGUGCCCGGGGAGAAAUGUCAAAGCUGGAGUGGGUAGGGACACUGCUCCCUUACCUGGAAUGAUGUCUGGCUUUUUUUCCCCACCCCAGACAUCCUCUACUAGACCAGUCACUACCACUUUUCCUCACAAGCCUCAUCUCACUUGUAUUCCUUAGGCUGCCAUGACCGCAGCAUCACUGCAGUACCUUUGUGCAAGGGGCAGGUGGCCGUGGGAGAGGCCACAGGGAGAGAGCAAGCCCAGGUGCACCACAGGCUGGAGCUGUCUGCCCACCGAAACUGCCCAGGCGGCUGUGACUGAAAUUUAAUUUGCCUGGUGCAUUCCGUGGACAUUUUAAUCAGCAUUUCCUACAAUCUACUUGGCAAAGAGGCUCGAUUGGCAGCUGCCUGACUGAAUGGGCUUUGCACCCAGUCUAACCUUCUCCAUUCGCAAUUUCCAGUGCUGGAAAACCUCUCUGUCUCACUUUCAGAAGUUUCUAUAGCAAUCACAGCCAUCCUAGUGAAGCACUGGAAAUGGCAGCCCAUUCAGAUUGUAAUUUCGCUGGACAGUAAUUGCUCCUCUCUCCACUGGCCUCUGAAAUGUUACUUUUUGGGAGAUAUCAACUGCAACUGGAGGAGACUGGUCCUCUGCCUGUGUUUCCAACCAGCUUUGCUCCCCCUGUCCCCUGAGGAUCUUUGUUAGCUGUUUACAGUGUGUGAACCUUGAUUAGCAGGGAAGUGUUGCUGGCACAUCAUACCUUGGCUACAGGAAAGACCUGACGUGAGUGAUGCUCUUAACAGGCCUGCAGGAACAAACCUCACCACCCAACACAGCAUGCUGUGACCUGAACAUUAUCCAUCACUGCAUGUAGAAAAAGUUACACAAAUGUGUGUGCCUUUGCUAAUUGUAAAAGACCAGAGCACUCAAAGGUUUUUCCUUCAUGUCGGUGAGCUUACUUUUCCUAGAUUUGUUGACUUCAGCUUAAACACUCACUUGAUCUUUUGUUCCAUGCUUCAGUUUUCAGUGGCUGUGAUUGCUCUUAAUUACUGUGACACUGAAGAACCAUGCACUGAAAAUACAUUAAGUAACUUCUUGCAAUAAGAGAAUGUGGUAGAAUUAUCCCACAGCUUGUGAAGAAAUCAGUUAACCAUUUCUUAAGCUCUUGUAAUAAUCUUCCCCUAUACUUUUAUGGUUAUUGUUGCCUGCUGGAAAAAUUAGCUUAAAGCUGAGUAAGGGGAAUUGUGGAUAAGUGUUUGCAAUUUGGCUUUGGACUGACAUAGUGUGGUUGCACUCAGAGAAUUUGAAGUCUUUGCUCUGGCAGCAGUACUCAAAUCUGGAAAUAUAGGAUUCACAUUGGAAAAGAGUGGAUUUUUAUAACUAUUUAAAUGAACAAUUUCAGCUAGAGAGUGGAUUAACAGAGCCAACUAAACCCUUCACCCUGACAAAGAACUGGCGGGAGGACUAUAGAAACACAUCCAAAAUUUUACCAACAUGAAUGCAGAGUACUAGGUCAGUGAGAAGCAUUUCUGUAUUUUAAUGGCUCUCUUAGAAAUCAAUUCAAUUUAAAACAAAAGUUGUUUUACAAAUAUGUGGAGAAUGCAGAAGGCUGGAGAGGGAGCAAGUGGCCUGCAUCUUCCAUCUGCUCCAUCCUCCCUCUCCUCUCGCACUAGGAACUGCUACUGCAAGUCCCCCUUCUGGGCAGACAGAGAAAAAAGCAGGCAGCGUCCCAAACCCGAGGGUCAGAAGUGUCUCCCAUUCUGCAGGUGCAUGGGUGCACCCCCAGACCCCACACCCUGUAUUUUACAUGUGCCAGAGCUCCUGAGGCCCAAAGCCAAGCAGCAGGAAAGUCUAAGCCCAGAGGUCUUGGGGAAGCUGAGACAGAAACCUGUGCUUCUCCAUCAGAAAUGAGGUUACAAAACAAGAGAAUAUUAAGUAUCCCAGGAUGAGAAGCAAUCUUCACUGACAAGAAAUGGACAUGUUGGGGAUUGCUUAUCUGUGAGAGGAAAUGGAUCAAGAUGACACAAGAGAAGCAUCCACCGGACGAACAAAACUGCAAAGGCAGAUUGGCAAAACUUUGAAGAAUUUCAGAAGAGGCAGCAAAGCCUAGGGAAUUUUUUUUGAGCAAAAUUUCUAAUUAAACCCUGACAGCUUACUGCUGCAGGAUGUUUAAAGGGAAAACAGGAUCUUAAAUUGAUCUGGAGAAGGGUCCAGUGUUUCCAUGAGUGACAAGGCACAUCUUGAACAGUAAGAAUCCCAAAUUAUGGGGGGGAAAAAGCACUUUAAUUUGUCUCACCCUCAAGUUGUUGGAGGAAAGUGGUGGAAAAUAGGAUUCCAAACCCAAAAAUUAUGGCUGCUGGCAGCAGUAACUGAGGGAGACAAGUUUAAACUACUUCUGGAGGAGGACCUUUCUGACAAGCCAUGGAUAUUUCAACCAAAAAGCUGAACCAUGUGUAGGGCAAUGGCUACUGCUUGUGCAGGCAACCACAUGCCCAGAAACUGGCACUGCUGCCAGUCCAGGUUUGCCCCCUGGAUACAGAGAUCUAAGAAAAAGCAAUCACACCAAGUCAUGAAGACCAAAGGGCUGGAGCACCUCUCCUGUGGAGACAGGCUGACAGAGGUGAGAUUGUUCAGCCUGGAGAAGGCUCCAGGGAUACCUUACAGCACCUUCCAGUACCUAAAGGGCACUGCAAGAGACCUGGAGAGGGACUUUUUACAAGGGUAUGCAGUUACAGGACAAGGGGGAAAGGCUUUAAACUGAAAGAGGGAGGGCUUAGAGUGGCUAUUAGGAAUAAAUGCUUUACUGUGAGGGUGGUGAGGCACUGGAAUAGGUUUCCCAGAGCAGCUGUGGAUGCCCCAUUUCUGGCAGUGUUCCCAGACAGGCUGGAUAUGGCCUUGAGCAACCUGGUCUAGUGGGAGGUGUUCCUGCCCAUGGCAGGGGAGGUUGGGAUUAGAUGAUCUUAAAGGUCCAUUCCAACCCCUUAAUACUCUUAUUAUUCUAAUUAACAGUGGGUCUGUCUAUCCAGAACACAUAUCUAAAAUUAUCAUGAGUAAGUGACAAGUUUAUAAAAUCUGGAUUUAUUAAUUUUUCUUUAUUACAAGAUAAACUAUUCUCAAAUAACAGAUGGAUUUGACAGUGUUCAGUUUGUAAUAUACUAGAUUCAAAAUUAUGUAUUUAAAAAAAUAUUCUCUGUAUACAAGGAAAAUCCCAACAGAAUUUACAAAGCCACUGUAUUUCAAAUGUAUAGGAUCUGAGAUUGUUAUCCUCUUAUAGGAAAUUUGUUAUUACAAGUAAAAGAAAAACUACACAAAUGGUUUACAGUUUUAAUCACAAAUCUCAAUUUUUUUUUCUUUAGAUUCUUAAAAUAGAUGCAUUAAUUAAAACAAAAUCACUACGAAGAGGCACAUGGUGUUUAGUGGAUGACAUUAAUUCUGUAACCCAAACAAGGAGACUAAUCCACUCUGAGUAGCUAAAUUAUUUUUUGCACUAUUUACAUACUUUACUGAAGUAUUUUCAUCCCAGAGCCUCAGAAAGCAUCUUAGAAUGUUAAUAAGGGAAGCCUGGCAGCAUGCCAGAGUUAACAAGUAAGAAAGUAACAUCAUUCCCAUUUUAUCCACAGGGAAACUGAGGCACCAGGCGUAUUCAGACCCAGGAAACUGCAGAAAGAAAAAUCCUGAAUCUUAAUUCUGUUAGCUGCGUUAUGAUGAAAAGACUGUUCUUCCUCCUUGUUAUGUGGCUGGUGACCCUGCUGGGCACUGUUUGAAACCUGGUCAGUUGCUUUUAUUCAUGUUUAGAUUGCUGCAAACUAGGUGACAUCUAUCCAGCUGUGUUGUCAUCACAAACACCUUUACUAAAAGAAAAGCCAUUAAUGGUUUUCCUUGUUAGAUCAAAAACCAGCAACAACAAAAAGUGCAUCUUCAAUCCCUCCAAAGCCUUUGGAAGGCUGUCUUGUUCUACCCAAAAUACUGCAAUUGUUCCCUCCAUCUGCACAGUAACAAAUACUGAAAACCAGUAACUCUGAAAGACAGAAUUGCACUAUUUAUCAUUUAAAAAAAAAGAAGUUAAAUUUUUGGGCAUUGUGAACAUUCUUUGGUCAAUCAAGUAUUUGAAAGAAGUUAGUUAAGAGAUUCUCAGCCAGGAUGUAACCUUUAGAAAACAUGAAGUGUUUCACAUGGUCCAUAAUCCCCAGGCUUUUACUUCCUAUGACAGCAAAAUAUUCUACCACAUCAAUAAAGGUCACUUGAAAAGACCUUUAAAAAUAACUUGUCAAUAAUGUUUGCUGAACGACUAAAGGAAAUAAAAACUUGUUGCAGAUCUGAGAUGACAUGAAUUCACAAGUUAAGGAAAACCUAAAAAGCCAGGACUUAAAACUCUGGAUAGAAGCAUCCAGCACAAAUCCAGCAAAUUUUAAGGCUAUUAUGGAGUGUGCAUCAUUUAGUCACAGGCAUCUCAUUGUUUACUUUUUGGCAAAUACUACAUCUUCAUGUGGGAAUAAAGUCAUGGACUGUUGCUGUCUCACAGCAGCAGGAGCAGGCCAGGCAGCAGGGGACAGGACAGCUGGGAGCACAGGUGGCCCAGGACCCUGGGGCACAACAAAACCACUCUUGUCCAUGGUGUCCACUGAGAUUCUGGCCAGCACCAGUUGCCUGGAAGGUGUCUGACCCCAGAAGCAGCACCCCCAACUCAGCACUGGAAAAAGGCUUUAUAAAUGCUACAGCACCCUAAAAUAAGCAAAUAGGGCCUCACUUUCUUCAGGGAGGUAGAUGAGCAUAAAUGUGCUGCUUCUGUGGUUACUGGGGCACCCUCUGCCCUGGCAUCUGGCCUGGCUGAGAAACCAGUCCAAUAAAUUUCCCCUUGUGGACCUGACCCAAAAGUGGCAAACCUCCCUCUGCAGCACAAUCACAAAUACAGCACAGUGAUUUAGGCAACUUUCUUUGUUUUCAGCCUCAAAACGCUUUUGGACUCUUCCCAAUUUAUUUUCCUUGAUUAUUGAUGGUACCUUCCAGGGACUCCCAAGAGACAAAUUCCUUGCUGGCCGAGGAAAGACUGCACUAUGGUUUUAUUUAGCAAUAUGUCCUGGAAGCAGUGCUGGCUCUGGAAGCUUUUGGGGGACUUCCCUCCUGUGUUUUCACAGAGCUCACCUAUAUCCUUAGAGGCUUUCAGUGGUACAUCAGUCCCACUGCAUUCAGGAGCUUCCAAAAACCUGGGGUAUCUGAGUUUGGGGUGUGCAUUCAGACUGCAGAAAAGCCUCAAAUACCAAUGGGCAAAGCAGCAGCAGUUUGAACACAAACAGGGAUCCUGUGCUUAAAGGAGCUUUGUCAUCACCCACACAGACGGUGGAGAAACACCUCACUUCCCUGGCCUGAAACAGUCUCUGUGGGAAUGAAGAACCUGCCAGGACCUCCUCUCCCAUAUGUCCCAGACAUGUCAUCUGUGUUCUGCAAGAUUACACACUUCCCCUAUACCACCUGACAGAGAAGGACAUAUAGGCUAAAUAUAUAAACAGUUUUUAAGCAAAUGUAAAUAAAUAUCCAGGUGCAAAGUGCCUUAGGUUAUCUACCACCAUCUCCCAUGUUCCUACAACACAUUCUGGUUCAAGGCAGGAGGCAUUUGAAGGCUACUCAAAAAACGUCAAGGCUGAAGCUUCAGGAGAGUUAUCAGCGCAGUACCAGGCUGAUAAGUAUAGAGUGCCACAUAUAAAUACAGAAACACACACAUUUAAAUUAUAUAUAUUAGUUUUAUCUAGAUUUAUAUGUACAUGUAUAAAUUAAAUAUACAUAUGUGUUUGUAUGUACAGACACACAUGCAUGAAUGUCAAUAGUCCCUCAGAUGAGACACCUAAUCCAAAUCUCUGAAAGCAUACAACAGUUAUUUGGAAAUUCUUAAGUAUAAACAAUGUAUUCUGAUUGGAGUUUUCAUAAAUAUGCAUUAAAAUUCUCCAUGGUAGUCACCCUUGUGGGAAUAAUAAUACAGUUCCAUUAGUUGCAAACUAUAAAUAUAGGCUUUAAAAAAUAAUUUAAAAAAAAAAUUAUUUGAAGAGCAGGUAUAGCCAGAGUAAGUAACUUCCAGGACAAGCGGAAGGGAUCAGAACAGAAAACCAGACCUGAGCAUGGGUUCCCUAACAAAAGUAAGUGCAUAGGACCUCUCCAGCCCUCUCUGCUGCCCAGAAGGCCCUUUUAGAAACUUUUUGUAAUUGUGAUGGGAGACAAUUUGGUAACAGACAGAAAAAGGUCAUGUUGCAAAAUCCAACAAAACCUCUCAAAGCUGGGGACAGUGUGUUACAUAUCUCCUCCCUAGGACAUGAGGGCAGUCUUUUCAGUCCAUCUACAUGUUUUUUUUCUACUCAAAGUUUCUAAAUAUGCUCUUAAGAUUACUUUAUAAAAAUACACAAUAAGCCAAUACACACAAUACCAUGUUUUGUUUCAGUUAGAUUAAAAUCAAGAAUGACACCAAAAUAUCUUCAACUAAAAGAGAGUUUCCAACUACAAACAUGAGGAUGGGUCAUGUGUCUUGAGGUAUCAGUUACUAUCCUAUCUUUUCCAUAAAACACAUUCCUAUGGUACCAUGAUGAAUUGCCUCAGUAGUACUGAGUACUGCUCCCCCCGGAUCGGGGCAGAUGUGUCAGCAGCAGUGGAAGGUUUGGUGUAGAAGAAACAUAAGAAAAUUCAGGGUAGAGAUGUAACUGGUGUAGAGGCAGCCUAUCCAGGCUUGCAAGAACCACAAAAUUUAGGAAGAAUAUGAACUUGCACUUAUUUGUUACAGCAUACCCUGUCUUAUCAAGGUCUCUUUUCUCAUCCAUUACUUAGAUCUUAAUCCUGUGCAGCUUCAAGUAUCUUAAAGCUCCUCCUCAGGGUUCUCUCUUGGUUAAAACCAUUAGCUUUCAAUGAACCAGACUGAUCAACAGUAUGAUUUAAAAAAAACUCCUGGAGCCUGAAUGUCAACACAUAGCUAGACUCAGAGAAUAGAAAAAAUAAAAACAAAACCAAAACACACUACAGAGGAGUUCCAGGAUUCUAGCAUGGACAAUAUCAGGAGUUUCUUAAAGAAGCAUUUGAUUUUUCUUUUGUGCAAUCAGCAUUGUACAUGACAGAAGCAGUGCAUAAUCAUUCAAAGUGCUCACUUCAAUGUGACAUCAUAAAAUGACUCUGCAUAGCCCAUUAACUUUGUUGGUAGACCAAUUCUCCAGAAACAUUCUAAUCCCAUCAAACUUCCUGAACAUCAAAGGUAUAUUUUAGAGAAUCAUUAGGGUUGGAAAAAAACUCCAAGAUCAUUGAGUCCAACUUUUGUCCAAACCUCAUCCUAUCCAGAUCCAAACCGCAGCUCUAAGUGCCAUGUCCAGCAAUUUCUUGAACACUUCCACGGAUGGUGACUCCACCACCUCCCUGGGCACUCUGUUCCAAUACUAGACAACACUUUCAGUGAAGAAAUUCUUCAUCAUGUCCAACCUGAAUCUCCCCUGGAGCAGCCUGAGGCUCUGUCCUCUCAUCCUGUCACUGGUUGCCUGGGAGAAGAGUACAACCCUCACCUCAUUACAACCCUCCUUUCAGGUGGCUGUAGAGAGCAAUAAGGCCUCCUCAAGCCUCCUUUCCUCCAGGCUAAACACCCCCAGCUCUCUCAGCUGCUUCUCACAGGACUUGUGCUCCAGAUCCUUCA